GGUGAGUUGUCUGACAUCGGACCAGCUUAUUUUCACCUCUAAACGACACUUUGGUUCCUGGGGCAGGGAGGCGAGGAGUCAGGGACCUCAGGACUGGAGAAGGAACUUCAGGACAUGGAGGAGGAGAGGGAGUUUAUCGUGAGGCUGCAAAAUACACCAGAGAAGGCCUGAGAAGUCUCGUGAACACGCCAGUGUGCUUCAACCUGACUUGUGUGGUGGGAAACGUCUUCAGGCACACGGGAAUCACCGGAAAAUAAGUUUUGUUUUUAAUUCUUUGCUUUUGUAUGAGCCGGAUUAUACAGUACAUCUACCAAACGUAUUAUGAAUAAAACAACAUGGAUAUUCCAUUACUAUGGGUUCUUACCGACAUUUCAGAACCAUUUAUGAUGGGUCGGGAUAUUGCCAUCCUUGUGUAACCCAGACUAAAAGGUACACAGGCAUGGAUUCACGAGGGAGUGGAGGGGGGCAUUUUAUAGCAUUUUGAUAAGAUGCAUAGUGAUAUUAAUCAAAUACAGUAAUGCACACAAAAAAAUUCUAUGGUUUCUAUGGGAGAAAAACAAACAUUAUGUACAUUAGCCAUGCCCUACAGGAAUUGGGAUUUUGUAUGUUGAUACAUUUUGAAACCACUUCAAUACAUGAUGUAUGUUCUAAUGUCUAAGUUUUACAUAAAUUAAAUAAUUUGCACAUAUAUCUAUGUGUAUGUUGUCAGUCAUUUACAUUUAGGUUGAAAUUGAGUGAUGCUUGACAUUGAAAUUAUAGCACGCUAAAACGUAGCUAACAUUGAUUUAGCUAGCUCGGUUUAAGGAGAUGUUUAUGAAUAAAACGUUACUAACGAUAGCUAAUCCACUGACCGUUGGUAACGCACGGACAUUGUUAUUAUUGGAUAUUUCCUUGCUGAAAAGUGAACAUGCAGAAAAAGGAGGAACAUUUUUAUUCAGCUAGCUAUCAUGUAGCCUAUUUUGAAUGCUCAGGUUUCCAUAUUGCAUGUAUUUUUAAUUGUUUGUGUAGCGUUAACCAAAAGUUAUGUAUUAAGUACAGUACUUUAUGUAGUUCCUUUUAAAUAAAAAAUGAAAAAAUGUAAUGCUGACAAAUCGCCGGUUCCCGCCCGGGGCUGUGGUGUACACUCUGAUAUAAACAACUCCCUGGAAGUUAUCUAUGUAAAUUUAUUUUUAAGGAUGAAUAUACAGAACAAAUUUGUAGAGUAGAUUACACUCGUUUUUAAAGGAGGGAAUUUUGGACAGUCAAGAAAAAAAAUCUAUUGUUUUUUUUUUUAGGUAUAACCUUUUACAUAAAUUUGUUCCGAGAAAAAAACCCUGUCCCCUACCAGGAGUCAGGGACCUCAGGACUGGAGAAGGAACUUCAGGACAUGGAGGAGGAGAGGGAGUUUAUCGCGAGGCUGCAAAAUACACCAGAGAAGGCCCGAGAAGUCUCGUGAACACGCCAGUGUGCUUCAACCUGACUUGUGUGGUGGGAAACGUCUUCAGGCACACGGGAAUCACCGGAAAAUAAGUUUUGUUUUUAAUUCUUUCUUUUUGUAUGAGCCGGAUUAUACAGUACAUCUACCAAACGUAUCAUGAAUAAAACAACAUGGAUAUUCCAUUACUAUGGGUUCUUACCGACAUUUCAGAACCAUUUAUGAUGGGUUGGGAUAUUGCCAUCCUUGUGUAACCCAGACUAAAAGGUACACAGGCAUGGAUUCACGAGGGAG